CAAAGAGAGCCUCAGUCUCCUGCCACCAGAUUUCUGUUUUAUAGAGAAAUGUCUACGAUGAACAGAGAAAUACCAGAGCUUGCAGGUUUCAAAGCACAGAAGUAUUAAAGGAAGAGUCAGACCAGAGUCCUGUACUACGAAGCCGGAUUUUCGCUUAGCGAGCUAACCUUAGGGAAAACUCUGGGUUUCCGGUCCUACGACGCUGGUUCACUUCUUACCGGGCUAGAUCUCCAUGGUAACUUAUGCUGAGUGGCUAACCUGCUCCGGAGCAGGUUAGGUUGCAGGCUAAGAGAUCAACUCAGUGAAAGCACCGCCUGCUGACCAAUCAGAGCUCCGUGUGCGGAGUUUAAAGCUAUCAAGUCAUAUUACAGGAGAAAGGAAAUACAGAAAAACUGCCGUUGCAGGAAUGACGGCCGGCAAAAAUCAUCGACUGUGU